rnacentral:tRNA from 1 species
AGCUCAGUUGGAUAGAGCACGAGCCUCCUAAGCCCGGGGUCGCACGUUCGAGUCGUGUC